rnacentral:rRNA from 1 species
GGGGGGGCAAGCGUUUGUUCGGAAUUACUGGGCGUAAAGGGCGCGCAGGCGGCCUGGCAAGUCCUACGUGAAAUCCCACAGCUCAACUGUGGAACUGCGUGGGAUACUGCCAGGCUUGAGUCCGGGAGAGGAGAGUGGAAUUCCCAGUGUAGCGGUGAAAUGCGUAGAUAUUGGGAGGAACACCGGUGGCGAAGGCGGCUCUCUGGACCGGUACUGACGCUGAGGCGCGAAAGCUAGGGGAGCAAACGGGGAUUAGAUACCCCGGUAGUCCUAGCCGUAAACUUUGAGCACUUUGUGUGGCGGGUAUCGACCCCCUGCCGUGCAGAAGCUAACGCAUUAAGUGCUCCGCCUGGGGAGUACGGUCGCAAGGCUG